rnacentral:tRNA from 1 species
AUUUAAGUAGUUUAUUUAAAAUAUUGGUUUGUGAAUCCAAAGAUAUAGUAUCUAUCUUAAAUA